rnacentral:rRNA from 1 species
CUUGACGACCAUAGAACAUUGGAACCACCUGAUCCCAUCCCGAACUCAGCAGUGAAACGAUGUAUCGCCGAU